rnacentral:lncRNA from 1 species
CCCUUUCCUUCUUUAAAGGAACCUGCUCCAGGGAGGGCUUUUAUUAUACAAAAAUGGCCCACAUCCAAUGGAGGGCCACCACAUCCAAUCUUUUCUCACUCUCUUCCAAGUGGUGUAGCCACAGAGAACAUACAAAAACACUAUAUUUUGGUUUUGCUGUGGCGGCCAGUUCAACUCUGGCAUGGAAGAAUCAUUGCUACCGCUCACUAUAAUAUACCUCUACUACUAUUUAUUAUUAUAGGGUAGUAGUAGUACCAGUACUACUAAAUACUACUACUCGUAGUAGUAGCAGCACAUACAAUAAAUCGCUCCAGGGAUAGGAUUCGUGAAACAAUUUUUUUCAAAAUUCUCGCCAGUCCAGAAAUGCACUCCAGGGAGGGAAGAUCAUGAAAAAUACCCGCAGUUUAAGUUACAACGACUCCUAUAGUAUAUACUAGGAGCAUGUGUGCUGUCAGUAAGCCAAGAGACUGCUGAUGCUUUGCUGAUUGGGGAUUGCUCUGCUUUUGCUUUCUAGUAGUAGUGGUCUUAGUAGUCUUUGUAGUAGUCUUAGUAGUCUUUGUAGUAGUCUUAGUAGUCUUAGUCUUAGUCUUAGUAGUAGUCUUAGUCUUAGUAGUAGUCUUAGUCUUAGUAGUAGUCUUAGUCUUAGUAGUUUUAGUCUUAGUAGUCUUAGUCUUAGUAGUAGUCUUAGUCUUAGUAGU